rfam:Trichuris suis scaffold69.18, whole genome shotgun sequence.
UUUUAUUCCAUGGACAUAUACUUAAAUUGGAACGAUACAGAGAUUAGCAUGGCCCCUGCGCAAGGAUGACAUGCAAAUCCGUGAAGCGUUCCAAAAUUUC